AUUGAACGCUGGCGGCACGCCUUACACAUGCAAGUCGAACGGCAGCACGGGAGCAAUCCUGGUGGCGAGUGGCGAACGGGUGAGUAAAGUAUCGGAACGUGCCCAGUCGUGGGGGAUAACGUAGCGAAAGUUACGCUAAUACCGCAUACGAUCUAUGGAUGAAAGCGGGGGAUCGCAAGACCUCGCGCGAUUGGAGCGGCCGAUAUCAGAUUAGGUAGUUGGUGGGGUAAAGGCUCACCAACCCGACGAUCUGUAGCUGGUCUGAGAGGACGACCAGCCACACGGGGACUGAGACACGGCCCAGACUCCUACGGGGGGCAGCAGUGGGGAAUUUUGGACAAUGGGGGAAAGCCGGAUCCAGCCAUGCCGCGUGCAGGAUGAAGGCCUUCGGGUUGUAAACUGCUUUUGUACGGAACGAAAAGGUUUGGCAUAAUAAGCUGAGCUAAUGACGGUACCGUAAGACUAAGCACCGGCUAACUACGUGCCAGCCGCCGCCGUAA
rnacentral:rRNA from 1 species